UUUUUUCCUCUUAGCCAAAGCUAGAUCUAAAAAAUAACAUUAGUAGCAAUUAUAAUAAUAUCCAUUUAUUGAGUGCCUACCAUCUGGGAACCAUACAUGCAUGAUUUUAUUUAUUUCUCCAAGAAUUUUAAUAAGGUAGAUAUUGUUGCUGUUUUACGGAUAAGGAAACUGGAGUGCAGAGUAGUUAGUAACGUUGCCAGGGUUAUCUGCCCAGUAAAGGGUGGUCUGUUUUGCACUGCUAUGACUGACUCCAAGCCCAUAGUUGCCCUUUUUAUUAUGCUGUGCUAUUUCUUAUGCAACCUGUAUGUUAGAAUGAGAGGAAGAAUACUCUCCUAUAUUUGAGAGCCAGGGGAAAGUCUAUAUACAGAAAAGGAGGUCUGUGGAGUAAUCUAGAACAUAGUGAUACUGUACCAUAUUUAAUUAGACAAGUAGGUUAUCUUUAUCUCACUGAUCUUUAAGCAGAGAUUCUUUACAUUAGACUCAAUUCGUGUUUUUCCUUGUUCAGAAGUCAAGAAGGCCUCCAGCAAAAUAUGACGAUAACUAGUAACCAGGCCCUUGAGCAUGCCGCUAGGCAACUGCUCUACCACUAAGCCCCGUCCACAGCCCCAAAAGGUCUGUCUGCUAAAAAUGGUUUGAAAACCAUGCUAAAACUCUAUCCAUUUGUCAUUGUUAAAAUGAAGAGGACUUCCAUUUGGGUCAAUUAUAUUGGAGCUUUGGCAUAAGUGGUAAAGUUGGGCUGGGGUUGUGGCUCGGUGGUAGAGCACUUGCCUAGCAUGUGUGAGGCACUGGGUUCGAUUCUCAGCACC
rnacentral:lncRNA from 1 species